GACAAGAGUGGCGGUGCCGGCGGCGACGUCCACGCUCGUCUGCCCGCUGGCCCAGUUGUAGUUACUCCAGCGGAACACACGUGGAGAAGCGUCCUCCUCCCCAGCUACAUCAUCGCGCAACUUUCAAGAAGAAGAGGCCGCAUGACACGCUUCUUGCUGCUGAUGCCUUGCAGGCGGGAGAGGACUUCCAUCUAGCUUUCGCCUGCCUGAAGGAAGAGGCGUGGCAGUGGCUGAAUAGAAGACCCACCUGCGGAUAGAACAUUGCGUUCAUCAUAGCUGACGAUAAUUCUGCUGUGCUGCUGCGUCUCCCGUUGCUGUGCGCUGUGGCGGCGGUGAAGCCCGGUCGCGGCCAGACUCCACUUACACUCGCCGCAGCAUCGUCACCAUCUCCAGCUCGGAACUUGCUGAGGUAGUAUCGGACACAAGCAUAUAGUGGUAAAUUAUCACUGUCGAAUAUCUUAUGCCGUACAAGUUUUUUUUUUUUUUCAAUUUAGCUGUGAAAAAUGUUUAGUUCAAAAUUUCACUCGGAAUGAAGCGGCGUUGACUCCGCAUGGCUUGCCAAGGUACUCCAGGACGGCCGCGUGUUUCCUAAGUAAAGUGAGUUGCAAAGUCGGGACGAUCGUAAGAACGCGACUGGCGGAGGUUUAGUGCCUGGUCAGUCGAUCACUCGAGCGGCGGCGUGGCGAGGCCCAGGGCGGAACGAGGGGAAGCUCGACCGUGGCGACGAGGUGUCCGUGUGUCCCAGAGGAGGGUGAGUGUCAAACUAGGGGAAGGCCACCCCGGGAACGCCAAAACUGCUUCUCUAAGUUUCCGGUUGUUGGGAGCCAUUUUGCCCUCGGGCGGUCCCCGUGCUCAUGUGCCGCGAGUGAGGCUCCGCCCACUCCUUCCCACUCGCCCCCAAUCCCCUCCAUCGGCGACGGGUGCCACCUACCUAUGUUUCCGCUUUCGUUGUAUCUCAUUCAAUUUUUACUGUAGGCACUUUCUCAUUUUUGCUCAUAAGCACAGGGCCAUAUAAACGCACCUUUCGAAAGGCGGGUCAGUCCGGCCAAGCGGAGUCCGGAUAUAGCAAGCUCAGCCCGGCCCUUCGCUCGUCAUCGUACCU